GAGAGUUUGAUCCUGGCUCAGGACGAACGCUGGCGGCGUGCCUAAUACAUGCAAGUCGAACGCUUCUUUUUCCACCGGAGCUUGCUCCACCGGAAAAAGAGGAGUGGCGAACGGGUGAGUAACACGUGGGUAACCUGCCCAUCAGAAGGGGAUAACACUUGGAAACAGGUGCUAAUACCGUAUAACAAUCAAAACCGCAUGGUUUUGAUUUGAAAGGCGCUUUCGGGUGUCGCUGAUGGAUGGACCCGCGGUGCAUUAGCUAGUUGGUGAGGUAACGGCUCACCAAGGCCACGAUGCAUAGCCGACCUGAGAGGGUGAUCGGCCACAUUGGGACUGAGACACGGCCCAAACUCCUACGGGAGGCAGCAGUAGGGAAUCUUCGGCAAUGGACGAAAGUCUGACCGAGCAACGCCGCGUGAGUGAAGAAGGUUUUCGGAUCGUAAA
rnacentral:rRNA from 1 species